rnacentral:rRNA from 1 species
UAAGGAAUAUUGGUCAAUGGACGCAAGUCUGAACCAGCCAUGCCGCGUGAAGGAUGAAGGUCCUCUGGAUUGUAAACUUCUUUUAUCUGGGACGAAAACGGGAUUUUUAUCUCAAUUGACGGUACCAGAGGAAUAAGCACCGGCUAACUCCGUGCCAGCAGCCGCGGUAAUACGGAGGGUGCGAGCAUUAUCCGGAUUUACUGGGUUUAAAGGGUGCGUAGGUGGGCUUAUAAGUCAGUGGUGAAAUCUCCGAGCUUAACUUGGAAACUGCCGUUGAUACUAUAGGUCUUGAAUUAUCUGGAGGUAAGCGGAAUAUGUCAUGUAGCGGUGAAAUGCUUAGAUAUGACAUAGAACACCAAUUGCGAAGGCAGCUUACUACAUAUAAAUUGACGCUGAGGCACGAAAGCGUGGGGAUCAAACA